rnacentral:rRNA from 1 species
UACGGAGGAUGCAAGCGUUAUCCGGAUUUAUUGGGUUUAAAGGGUGCGCAGGUUGUUUGAUAAGUCAGUGGUGAAAGUCUGUCGCUUAACGGUAGGAUUGCCAUUGAUACUGUUGGACUUGAAUAUGGAUGAGGUAGGCGGAAUGUGUAGUGUAGCGGUGAAAUGCUUAGAUAUCACACAGAAUAUCAAUUGCGAAGGCAGCUCACAAAGCCAAGAUUGACGCUGAGGCACGAAAGUGUGGGGAUCAAACA